GCUGUGUAUGGCUGAGUGGUACAGCACUUGCCUAGCAUGUGUGAGGCCCUGGGUUCAACCCCAGUACCGUCA
rnacentral:tRNA from 1 species